rnacentral:rRNA from 1 species
CCUGCCUUUCAGAGGGGGACAACAGUUGGAAACGACUGCUAACACCGCAUAACGCAUAGGAGCCGCAUGACUCCUAUGCCAAAGAUUUAUCGCUGAAAGAUGGCCUCGCGUCUGAUUAGCUGGUUGGUGAGGUAACGGCCCACCAAGGCGACGAUCAGUAGCCGGACUGAGAGGUUGAACGGCCACAUUGGGACUGAGACACGGCCCAAACUCCUACGGGAGGCAGCAGUGGGGAAUCUUGCACAAUGGGCGAAAGCCUGAUGCAGCGACGCCGCGUGAGUGAAGACGUACUUCGGUAUGUAAAGCUCUAUCAGCAGAGACGAUAAUGACGGUACCUGACUAAGAAGCCCCGGCUAACUACGUGCCAGCAGCCGCGGUAAUACGUAGGGGGCAAGCGUUAUCCGGAUUUACUGGGUGUAAAGGGAGCGUAGGUGGUAGUGUAAGUCAGAUGUGAAAGCCCGUUGCUUAACAGCGGGAUUGCAUCAAAACUACAUUACUAGAGUGCAGGAGAGGUAAGUGGAAUUCCUAGUGUAGCGGUGAAAUGCGUAAAUAUUAGGAGGAACAUCAGUGGCGAGGGCGGCUUACUGGACUGUAACUGACACUAAGGCUCGAAAGCAUGGGUAGCGAACAGGAUUAAAUACCCUGGUAGUCCAUGCCGUAAACGAUGAGUGCUA